AGAGUUUGAUCCUGGCUCAGGAUGAACGCUGGCGGCGUGCCUAACACAUGCAAGUCGAACGAGCAAAUACAUUUGAUUUCUUCGGAAUGAAGAUGUAGGCGCGAGUGGCGGACGGGUGAGUAACGCGUGAGUAAUCUGCCUCAUACAGGAGAAUAACACUAAGAAAUUGGUGCUAAUACUCCAUAAGCUCACAUUAUGACAUCAUAGAGUGAGAAAAGAUUUAUCGGUAUGAGAGGAGCUCGCGUCUGAUUAGCUAGUUGGUGGGGUAACGGCCUACCAAGGCGACGAUCAGUAGCCGACCUGAGAGGGUGAUCGGCCACAUUGGAACUGAGACACGGUCCAAACUCCUACGGGAGGCAGCAGUGGGGAAUAUUGCACAAUGGGGGAAACCCUGAUGCAGCAACGCCGCGUGAAGGAAGAAGUAUUUCGGUAUGUAAACUUCUAUCGACAGGGAAGAAACAAAUGACGGUACCUGAAUAAGAAGCACCGGCUAAAUACGUGCCAGCAGCCGCGGUAAUACGUAUGGUGCAAGCGUUAUCCGGAUUUACUGGGUGUAAAGGGUGAGUAGGCGGUCAUGCAAGUCAUAUGUGAAAUGUCAGGGCUUAACCUUGGCGCUGCAUAAGAAACUGUAUGACUAGAGUGCAGGAGAGGUAAGCGGAAUUCCUAGUGUAGCGGUGAAAUGCGUAGAUAUUAGGAAGAACACCGGUGGCGAAGGCGGCUUACUGGACUGUUACUGACGCUGAGUCACGAAAGCGUGGGGAGCAAACAGGAUUAGAUACCCUGGUAGUCCACGCCGUAAA
rnacentral:rRNA from 1 species